rnacentral:lncRNA from 1 species
UGUUAUUGAAUAUCAAGAAAGAAAAUAAAAUCCCGAAAUUGAUUUGAAACUUUGAUACUUAAUAGUUUUCCUGGAAUUAAAAUAUUCUCAUCCCUUGGGAUAAUUAGUGUACAUUCAGUUGCAUAUAAUAUUACAUGCAUGUCGGAACAAUUGUGAUGAGGCCUAGAUUAAUAUAUUGUUUGUUUCCUCAAUCCCGACCCUGCCUAGCCAGGUGUGGGUAGGUAGGUAGGGAAAUAAUUUUAUUUUUCCAAAAAGCUUGAACAUUAUCGGACGAUCCAGCAAGCCUGAAAAUCAGAAAUGAAUAAAAUAAUAUUUGACUUAGUUUUGACAAUAAAAUUUUAUGAGUAGCACCAUUUUUGCAGGGUCGGUCAGGAUUGGGAAAACAAACAAUAUUUUAUUUUAGGCCUGGUGACAAAUUUAUUCUUUUAUUCAAGAACAAUCUAAUUGAAAAUAAAUCUGUGAUUUUACUAUGUCCAUAACUUCGAUGAACCAAAGCAAGUUACAUGUAUUUAAAUCAAAUUGGUUUUUCUUCUUCUUCUUUGUUUUCUUAUUUUGGUAUACAUUAGUCUAUCAACAUUGGAUGAUAACAUACUGUUGUCAUACAUGGACUAGUCUAUUUACAAAACUUUUACCCCAAUUUACACAAAAUGUAUGUUUCUUUCUUAUGUAUACAUGUAUAUAUUUUAAAUUGUGUAUAGUUCCGUAACUUUAUAUCCAGGCGUAUAAACCAAUGGUCGUCAAGUG